UUUUCCGGUUAUCCUGCCGGACCCGACUGCUAUCAGAGUGGGACUAAGCCAUGCGAGUCGACGUAGCAAUACGUGGCAUACGGCUCAGUAACACGUAGUCAACAUGCCCAGAGGACGUGGAUAACCUCGGGAAACUGAGGAUAAACCAUGAUAGAUCAUAAUAUCUGGAAUGAUUUAUGGUUCAAAUCUAUAUGGCCCCUGGAUUGGACUGCGGCCGAUCAGGCUGUUGGUGAGGUAAUGGCCCACCAAACCUGAAACCGGUACGGGCUCUGAGAGGAGAAGCCCGGAGAUGGGCACUGAGACAAGGGCCCAGGCCCUAUGGGGCGCAGCAGGCGCGAAAUCUUUGCAAUAGGCGAAAGCCUGACAAGGUUACUCUGAGUGAUUUCCGAUAAGGAGAUCUUUUGACACCUCUAAAAAUGGUGUAGAAUAAGGGGUGGGCAAGCCUGGUGUCAGCCGCCGCGGUAAUACCAGCACCCCGAGUGGUCGGGACGAUUAUUGGGCCUAAAGCAUCCGUAGCCGGUUCUUUAAGUCCUCCGUUAAAUCCAUCUGCUUAACAGAUGGGCUGCGGAGGAUACUAUAGAGCUAGGAGGCGGGAGAGGCAAGCGGUACUCAGUGGGUAGGGGUAAAAUCCGUUGAUCCAUUGAAGACCACCAGUGGCGAAGGCGGCUUGCCAGAACGCGCUCGACGGUGAGGGAUGAAAGCUGGGGGAGCAAACCGGAUUAGAUACCCGGGUAGUCCCAGCUGUAAAUGAUGCAGACUCGGUGAUGAAUAGGCUUAGUGCCUAUUCAGUGCCGCAGGGAAGCCGUUAAGUCUGCCGCCUGGGGAGUACGGUCGCAAAACUGAAACUUAAAGGAAUUGGCGGGGGAGCACCACAAGGGGUGAAGCCUGCGGUUCAAUUGGAGUCAACGCCGGGAAUCACUAGU
rnacentral:rRNA from 1 species